rnacentral:rRNA from 1 species
AUUUAUUAGAACAAAACCGACCGGCGUAAGCCGUCAGUUUGAUGACUCUGGAUAACUUUGCUGAUCGCACGGCCUCGAGCCAGCGACGUAUCUUUCAAGUGUCUGCCCUAUCAACUAUGGAUGGUAGGAUAUUGGCCUACCACGGUUAUAACGGGUAACGGGGAAUCAGGGUUCGAUUCCGGAGAGGGAGCCUUAGAAACGGCUACCACAUCUAAGGAAGGCAGCAGGCGCGCAAAUUACCCACUCUCGGCUAGAGGAGGUAGUGACGAAAAAUAACAAUACGGGACUCUAUGAGGCCCCGUAAUUGGAAUGAGUACACUGUAAAAAUGUUAACGAGUACCAAUUGGAGGGCAAGUCUGGUGCCAGCAGCCGCGGUAACUCCAGCUCCAAUAGCGUAUAUUAAUGUUGCUGCAGUUAAAAAGCUCGUAGUUGGAUCUCAGGCAUGGAUCUGGUGGUUCAGCUGAUGCUGUUUCUGCUAGUUUCCGCCAAAUCAGCUGUAUGUUGUUUGUAGUGCUCUUAACCGAGUGCUAUGAAUGCUCAGCACGUUUACUUUGAACAAAUUAGAGUGCUCAAAGC